AUUGAACGCUGGCGGCAUGCUUUACACGUGCAAGUCGAACGGUAACAGGCCGCAAGGUGCUGACGAGUGGCGAACGGGUGAGUAAUGCAUCGGAACGUGCCCAGGCGUGGGGGAUAACUGCUCGAAAGAGCAGCUAAUACCGCAUACGAUCUAUGGAUGAAAGCGGGGGACCGGAAGGCCUCGCGCGAUCGGGGCGGCCGAUGUCAGAUUAGGUAGGUGGUGGGGUAAAGGCCUACCAAGCCGACGAUCUGUAGCUGGUCUGAGAGGACGACCAGCCACACUGGGACUGAGACACGGCCCAGACUCCUACGGGAGGCAGCAGUGGGGAAUUUUGGACAAUGGGCGCAAGCCUGAUCCAGCAAUGCCGCGUGCAGGAAGAAGGCCUUCGGGUUGUAAACUGCUUUUGUACGGAGCGAAAAGGUCCUCUCUAAUACAGGGGGCUGAUGACGGUACCGUAAGAAUAAGCACCGGCUAACUACGUGCCAGCAGCCGCCGUAA
rnacentral:rRNA from 1 species